UGUGCCCUUAAGAACUAUGAGAUUCUGGCCAACCAAUCCCCCUUCAUUCAGAGAAACUUUUGAUAAGUAAUCAAUGGAGUCACAUAAGGUUAUGAUACAUCUGAUGAAGCUGUUUGCCAAGAACCAUGGGAUAGAUCCUGAGAUGCUUGCGAGCUUUUUCGAGGACGGAAUACAAGGAGUAAGAAUGAACUAUUAUCCACCUUGUGCAGGGGCAAGCAAGGUUUUUGCUCUAGCACCACACUCUGAUGCUACAGGUUUAACACUCCUGACUUAAGUGAAUGAAGUUGAAAGAUUACAGAUCAAGAGAAACGAGAAAUGGGUGCCAGUUAAACUCAUGCCUGGGGCAUUCAUCAUCAAUAUUGGAGACAUGCUUGAGAUUCUGAGCAAUGGAGAAUAUAAAAGCAUAGAACAUAGAGCUGUGGUUAAUCCAGCUAAAGAGCAGCUGUCGAUUGCAGCAUUUCGUAAUCCGAAAAACGGUACCCAGAUUGGUCCUUUGCCUGAUCUUGUUAUGACGAACAAGGCACUGUAUAGGACUUUACCACUCGAGGAGUUCCUGAGGUUGAAGAUGACCAGAAAACUUGAUGGGAAAUGUAUGAUAAAAAAAAUGAUGCUCUAAAUUCAGAAUCGUUGUCGAGUUAAUCAACUC